rnacentral:rRNA from 1 species
GAUGAACGCUGGCGGCGUACCUAAUACAUGCAAGUAGAACGCUGAAGGAGGAGCUUGCUCUUCUGGAUGAGUUGCGAACGGGUGAGUAACGCGUAGGUAACCUGCCUGGUAGCGGGGGAUAACUAUUGGAAACGAUAGCUAAUACCGCAUGACAACAGUUAUUGCAUGAUAACUGUUUAAAAGGGGCAACUGCUCCACUACCAGAUGGACCUGCGUUGUAUUAGCUAGUUGGUGAGGUAACGGCUCACCAAGGCGACGAUACAUAGCCGACCUGAGAGGGUGAUCGGCCACACUGGGACUGAGACACGGCCCAGACUCCUACGGGAGGCAGCAGUAGGGAAUCUUCGGCAAUGGACGGAAGUCUGACCGAGCAACGCCGCGUGAGUGAAGAAGGUUUUCGGAUCGUAAAGCUCUGUUGUAAGAGAAGAACGAGUGUGAGAGUGGAAAGUUCACACUGUGACGGUAUCUUACCAGAAAGGGACGGCUAACUACGUG